rnacentral:rRNA from 1 species
UGACCGCUGGCGGUAGGCCUACCACAUGCACGUCGACCGGCAGCACAGUAAGAGCUUGCUCUUACGGGUGGCGAGUGGCGGACGGGUGAGGAGUACAUCGGAAUCUACUUUUUCGUGGGGGAUAACGUAGGGAAACUUACGCUAAUACCGCAUACGACCUACGGGUGAAAGCAGGGGAUCUUCGGACCUUGCGCGAUUGAAUGAGCCGAUGUCGGAUUAGCUAGUUGGCGGGGUAAAGGCCCACCAAGGCGACGAUCCGUAGCUGGUCUGAGAGGAUGAUCAGCCACACUGGAACUGAGACACGGUCCAGACUCCUACGGGAGGCAGCAGUGGGGAAUAUUGGACAAUGGGCGCAAGCCUGAUCCAGCCAUACCGCGUGGGUGAAGAAGGCCUUCGGGUUGUAAAGCCCUUUUGUUGGGAAAGAAAAGCAGCAGGUUAAUACCCCGCUGUUCUGACGGUACCCAAAGAAUAAGCACCGGCUAACUUCGUG